rnacentral:rRNA from 1 species
GACGAACGCUGGCGGCGUGCUUAACACAUGCAAGUCGAACGGAAAGGCCCUGCUUGCAGGGUACUCGAGUGGCGAACGGGUGAGUAACACGUGGGUGAUCUGCCCUGCACUUCGGGAUAAGCUUGGGAAACUGGGUCUAAUACCGGAUAGGACCGCACUUUAGUGUGUGUGGUGGAAAGUUUUUUCGGUGUAGGAUGAGCUCGCGGCCUAUCAGCUUGUUGGUGGGGUAAUGGCCUACCAAGGCGGCGACGGGUAGCCGGCCUGAGAGGGUGUACGGCCACAUUGGGACUGAGAUACGGGCCAGACUCCUACGGGAGGCAGCAGUGGGGAAUAUUGCACAAUGGGCGCAAGCCUGAUGCAGCGACGCCGCGUGGGGGAUGAAGGCCUUCGGGUUGUAAACUCCUUUCGCUAGGGACGAAGCUUUUUGUGACGGUACCUAGAGAAGAAGCACCGGCUAACUACGUG